UACGUAGGGUGCAAGCGUUAAUCGGAAUUACUGGGCGUAAAGCGUGCGCAGGCGGUUUUCCAAGUCAGUGGUGAAAGCCCGGAGCUCAACUCCGGAACUGCCAUUGAAACUGUGAAACUCGAGUACGAGAGAGGUGAGUGGAAUUCCCAGUGUAGAGGUGAAAUUCGUAGAUAUAGGGAAGAACACCGGUGGCGAAGGCGGCUCACUGGCUCGUAACUGACGCUCAGGCACGACAGCGUGGGGAUCAAACAGG
rnacentral:rRNA from 1 species